GAUCAAGUCCAAACCUGAGAGUCUCGACAGCAGCUUGUUGUAGGCCAUAGCGUAAUGCUCAUUCUUACUAUCCGCCCCACUGCCUAACAUCAUUCUGGUUAUGAUUUUUGCAGUCCAAACUGGUGUCGGCGAAGUUCUGAUCUUUUACAUUUUCAAGUAAAAUGGAACAAACUCUGAACCUUGAAUGUACAUGCCUAACCUCCCAAAGUAGUGCGUUGCAAAAUUGACAAACUGGUGUCUGGGAAGUUCUGAUCUUUUACAUUUUCAAGUAAAAAGGAACAAACUCUGAACCUUGAAUGGACAUGCCUAACCUCCCAAAGUAGUGCGUUGCAAAAUUGUGGGGUGAUAUACAGAGGCUUGGACUUGGUUUUGCUAGCAGGAAAUUCUAGCUGAUCAAUUUGUAAUCUAGUUCAGAGAACAUGUCCAUCGUGUUACAAGUAAUGACAAGUGCAGAAACUAAUUAAAGGUUCUUUUUUAUACUAGUUUUUUUUUUAAAUAUUUGCCAUUUAUUUUGAAAGGUUUUGUUUUGAUGCUUAUAGACAAUAGUUUUAGUAGUUUUUCUGCAUUGGCGGAUGCUACAAUAUUAUCUUGUGUUCAUUCAACUAUUACAGAAACAUAUCUUAUUUUAUCCUCCCUUAUACUUUUGGGCAAUUCA
rnacentral:lncRNA from 1 species